CCAGUUUUGUCUUCGGCAAAAUAAAACAGGAAAAUUAUUUUUAAUUGCCACCUAUUGAACAAACAACUUUUUAAAAGUAGAACGUACUACGUAACGUACUUAUUACGUAACUUUCACAAAUCGGCCGAAAUCAUGAAAUGAAAGCAUGAUAUGGCCAUCGCAUAAUCACAGUAUAUGAAUCAAUCUCAAAUGUUGAGAAGUAUAUUACAUUCAAAUGGGAGAAAAUAAUUGGUUUUAUAAUCGGUCACACAUUUUUCCAUCGGUGCGUUUAAGUUCAAUAAAAUCAUGAAUUGUCGCAUAAGCAUAGACAAAUUUUCUUUUACGCUAAUAGCAUAAACAUAGUAAUAUAAAUCCUAUAAUUUGUUCGUAAUAGAUAUUUUCCAUUAAUAAAAUAAAUUAAAAAAAAUAAUGAGUUAAAUUAAUGUUACGACCAACUAAGCAAAAAUCGGUGGCAAGUCAAAGGUUGGUUUAGUGCAAGUAUUUGAUUUCUUUACGACACAUUAUUCCUCCGCAAAAAGGAUUGCUAUAAAACUGCCGUCAAAGAAGGAGGUGCCGAGAUGCAAAUGUGACACAAACUGACUUGGCAGUAAUUGGUUUAUCGCCAUUUUUUGCUUUAGAAUACCAAUUACUUAGCCAAUAAUGCGAAGGGGAUAUGCAGCGAAGAAACUGUUCACAAUGUGCAUUAAGAUAGAUAUUGAUAAUCGAUAUAAAAUUGCAUUUACAUUUUUCACCCUUAAAAAUGUAGGCGAGUAUUUUUGAUUUUUUAAUGUUCAGCUAAAAUCGAAUAAAAGUUUCCCGUUGCUGUUAAUUUGUAUAAUCAAAAAACUGCAAAGCUAAAUGUGAAACAAUAUAUUAUUAUUGGAAAAACAACAAAUAUUUAUUCCCUCUCCCAAGCAACUCUUAUUACGUUCUAUGAAUUAAAAAAUAACAAAAUUAUUAA